rnacentral:misc_RNA from 1 species
GAUGAAGAACGUAGCGAAAUGCGAUAAGUAAUGUGAAUUGCAGAAUUCAGUGAAUCAUCGAAUCUUUGAACGCACAUUGCGCCCCCUGGUAUUCCGGGGGGCAUGCCUGUCCGAGCGUCAUUACAACCCUCAAGCUCAGCUUGGUAUUGGGCCCCGCCGACCCGGCGGGCCCUAAAGUCAGUGGCGGUGCCGUCCGGCUCCGAGCGUAGUAAUUCUUCUCGCUCUGGAGGUCCGGUCGUGUGCUCGCCAGCAACCCCCAAUUUUUUUCAGGUUGACCUCGGAUCAGGUAGGGAUACCCGCUGAACUUAAGCAUAUCAAAAGCGGAGGA